rnacentral:misc_RNA from 1 species
GAAAUGCGAUAAGUAAUGUGAAUUGCAGAAUUCAGUGACUCAUCGAAUCUUUGAACGCACCUUGCGCUCCUUGGUAUUCCUUGGAGCAUGCCUGUUUGAGUAUCAUGAAAUCUUCAAAGUAAAUCUUUUGUUAACUCAAUUGGUUUCUACUUUGGUAUUGGAGGUCUUUGCAGCUUCACACCUGCUCCUCUUUGUUCAUUAGCUGGAUCUCAGUGUUAUGCUUGGUUCCACUCGGCGUGAUAAGUUAUCUAUCGCUGAGGACACUGUAAAAGGUGGCCAAGGUAAAUGCAGAUGAACCGCUUCUAAUAGUCCAUUGACUUGGACAAUACUUUUAUGAUCUGAUCUCAAAUCAGGUAGGACUACCCGCUGAACUUAAGC